GACGAACGCUGGCGGCGUGCUUAACACAUGCAAGUCGAACGGAAAGGCCCUGCGUUUGUGGGGUGCUCGAGUGGCGAACGGGUGAGUAACACGUGAGUAACCUGCCCUUGACUGUGGGAUAACUUCAGGAAACUGGGGCUAAUACCGGAGAGGAGCUCCUGCUGCAUGGUGGUGGUUGGAAAGAUUCGGCGGUUGGGGCUGGACUCGCGGCUUAUCAGCUUGUUGGUGGGGUAGGGGCGUACAAAGGCUUUGACGGGUAGCCGGCCUGAGAGGGUGACCGGCCACCUUGGGACUGCGAUACGGCCCAGACUCCUACGGGAGGCAGCAGUGGGGAAUAUUGCACAAUGGGCGGAAGCCUGAUGCAGCAACGCCGCGUGCGGGAUGACGGCCUUCGGGUUGUAAACCGCUUUCGCAGGUGCCGAAGCGUGAGUGACGGUAAUGGGUCAAGAAGCACCGGCUAACUACGUG
rnacentral:rRNA from 1 species